GUUUAUAUUCCUGUGACUUGAACACUUCAUGACUGAGAGCUGCUGAUCAGCAACUUCACCCACAGCAACCAUGACUUUGAUCAGCAUCUUCAUCUGCACACUGGCCCUCUGGACUCAAGGAUCCAGAAGUCAGGUGACUGUGACUCAGACUCCUUCAGUGAAGACUGUUGUUCCAGGAAACACAGUUACCAUCAACUGUAAAAGCAGUCAUAGAGUGCAUGAUGGUACUUAUCUACACUGGUACCUGCAGAAACCUGGAGAAGCUCCUAAACUUCUGAUCCAUCAUGUUAAUAAAUUAGAGUCAGGGAUUCCAGCUCGUUUCAAAGGCGCUGGAUCUGAUACUGACUUCACUUUGACCAUCAGUGGAGUCCAGGCUGAAGAUGCAGGAGAUUAUUACUGCCUUACUGACCUUCAGAUCAGUGGCAAAUCAGUGUUCACACAGUGUUUAAGCGUCAUACAAAAACCUCAGUCAGUGAGAAGAACAGAGAAACACUGCUGCAGCUGGGAGAGACUGUAGGUGCUGAGGAUGUGAUACACACAAUAACACACACUAACAAUGCAAGAAAACACACAACACUGAUCUCACUAAUGAUC